rnacentral:ncRNA from 1 species
CCUUCGAUUUUGGCUGUUCUUAUCAUUGUGAAGCAGAAAUCACCAAAGCAUUGGAUUGUUUACUGACUAAUAACAGGAACUGGGAUCAGAAUGUUGGGAGACAGGUU